GCCACUUCUUGAUGCCUUCGGUGCCGGAUCCAAUUCUUAUUCCAAUGUACUGUAAUUACCUGAAACGCGUUUUAAAAAGGUUUUGUCAGCGGAAAAUACUGAGUGAAUCAUUCAUUUUACUGAAAACGACACAUUUGUUAUAAUUCACAGUAUUAAGAUCUUUUACAUAUGUUUCUGAUAUCAACCAACUACCCACAAUAUUUGUCACUCGACCGGAUCUGUGACAGUGGUCAUAUCACCAUUGGCUGCCCCAAUGAAUGACGUAUCACUAAAUUUUAGGUUCGCUCACCUAAAGUGAUAAAACAGUAGUAAUGUGCACAAUACCCCACAUACUGGCUGUAAUUUGGUGAUUACAUCAACUUAAUCACUGUAAUUAUAAUUCUGAAAAUAAUUUGGAGUAUUGUAAAAC
rnacentral:lncRNA from 1 species